GGGCAAGGGAGCUCUUUUUUUCUAAUUAGCACAAGAUUGCCAUUUCAGCUAGGGAUUCUGCUGCAACCAUCUCCCAGACCCUAUUCUAGGGCCCGGGGACAGAAACAGAAUUAAAAACAUAUUCCUUAUCUUUCUUGGGCUUAUAUUAUUGAGGAGAGAGAAAUAAACAAUUUCAAAAUAAACAAUGUCAUACAGUGCUAAAUGCUAUAAAUAAAAUCAAACAGAAUAACAAAAGAGGGAGUAGCUGGAUUGAAGGGAAAAGCUGCUUCAGGAUGAGUUGUCAUCUUGGAGGAAAGUAAGCCCAUGUAAAGGCCCUGGGGCAGAGUGAGCUUAUUUGAUAAAGAGGUAAAAGGGUCAGGAUAUCUGUAGCAAUAGUGGCCACGGGAGGGAGAGGUAUGAGACAGAGGAGGUGAGCCCUGUUGCCAUGGUGAGGGCAUGAGGAUUUGUUCUAAGUUCCAGAUACCUGGAAUUAAUGUCCUCUGAACUGGACAAUAACUACGAGCCUUCAUAUCUCAAUGCUACAGUCUUUAAGCCCCUGUUAUAAGAACUCGGAGGCUUCAGGGAUGACAGGAAACACCAGAACGCUAUGGUGGAGCAUAUCUAGGUGCCUUCUCCCAACUCAGACCCUUUGACUGUACAAAGACACAGGUUUCAAGGCUGAGAUCCACAAAACUCUAGCAAAUACUGCACAGACACCAACCAAUGACAGCAGGUGCUGCCUGUCACCCUGGAGCACCAGGCAGCAUUUCAAAGCACUCUUGCUGUGCCGGCCUCUGAUUGCUGGUUAUAGGGAGGUCUGGGGUAGUCCCAAAAGCUGGGAUGUCCAAGGUAGCUGGGGUCAGUCAGGAGGCUCAGGGCAGUGGCAGGAAAAUAUUUUCCUCCCUGUUAGAGCAACAGUGGGGUAUCCAGGCUGAAUAUCAGUGGCGAGAAGGAUGAUCGCACAGCACCAAGACCUGCGGAACAAACUUUGUUGGAGCUGAAUCCAGAAAAACAAUCUUCUUCUAAGCCACUCUCCUGCCCCUCAUUUAAUUAUUGUGCUUUUGGGUGUACUUGGACUACUCUGAAACAUUCAGAACUCUGUCAAAAAAAAAAAAAAAGAAAGAAAGACUUCUUUCCUCAGCACCUCUCUGACUUGGGCAUCAGUCUUGGCUUCCUGUCUACUUGCUUUCACUUGCUGUUUGUGGCAGAGAUGGCCCCCAGCAGAUCCCUUCCCUCGGGUUCCCUUGCUGUCAAGUGGAGGCUAGGGAGCGAGAUUAUGGCCAAUAGAAUGUGAGCGGAAGUGAUGUGAACCACAGAUCUGAGCCUUAGGAACAUCCCACAGGACCCUGAGCUCUUCCCCCGGCUGCUGCAGUAGCCUUGGAAGCCACGUGUGUUCUAGAAGUGUAGCUACAGAUGGAGAAGGCCCAUGUGCUAGCUAGUCUCCAAAGAUGGUGUAUUAGGCCAUCCUUGCAUUGCUAUAAAGAAAUAUCUGAGACAAGGUAAUUUAUAAAGAAAAGAGUUUGAAUUGUCUCAUGGUUUUGCGGGCUUUACAAGAAGCAUGGUGCUGGCAUCUGCUUGGCUUCUAAGGAGGCCUCAGGAAGCUUACAAUCAUGAGCAGGCACAUCACGUGGCCAAAACAGGAACAAGCAAGAGAGAGUCGGUGGGUGUGGGGAGGGACAUGCCACACACUUUUAAAUAACCAGAUCUCACAAGAACUCACUAUCUCGAAGACAGCACCAAGCCAUGGGGGAUCUACCCCCAUGGUCAAAACAACUCCCACCAGGCCCCAACUCCAGCACUGGAGAUUGCAAUUUAACAUGAAAUCUGGGUGGAGAUAAAUAUCCAAAUUAUAUCAGAGGGCCUUCCCUGGAAGCAGACCUCCUGGUUUCCAGGUCCCCUUUCUUGCUGCUUCUGGGCUGGUCUCCUGGGAAGCCAAGACUGCAGUGGCUCUGAUGCUGCAUGGGGGCUGAGGCUCAGCCAUGAGGAGGCUCGCAGCUGCCACUUUGGUCUUUUGGAAACUUUGCUCAUGAGAGUCUCCCCGUUGGGCCCCAGCCACCAUGCUGUGAGAAGUGAGGGUCAUGUGGAGAGGUCACAUGGAGGUUUUCUGGUCUAGAGCACAACUGAGCUCCCAGAAACAACCAGCAUCAAUGGCUGGCCAUGUGAGCCAGCUGGCAUGGACAUUCCAGACCAGUCUGUCCUUCUGUCACCUUAGCUACAGGGAAGGCCCAUGACCCCAGAAGUGCCCGUCAUUAUGCUGAAUUCUCUGGCCUCAGUGGUCCACCGAGGUGUGCAAGCAUGUCUCACAAGGGUCAGAUGGAGUUCUGGCCUGGAUUGAUGUGUAGAUGCUGGAGAGAGAAGCUGGGUUUCUUUUGGCUGGGUGGCUCUGCUGGUAUGUGGUGGGCCUUGGGUUUCCAGGUGGUCAUUUUCCUUAUUUGCAGAAGGAAUGAGGCCCAUAUAGAGAAUAGAGCAAAUUAAAGGGAGAGAAAGAGAAAGAAGUAGGGAGAGAGGAAGAUAGAGAAAAAGAAGGAAAAAGAAGAACGGAGGGAAGGAGAGGAAAGAAAAAGAGAAGGAAAAUGAGAAGGAGGAGAGGAAGAGGAGAGAGAGAGAGAAAAUGAUUUCUUUGGACCUCAAAAUUCAGGCAUACCAUGGUCUUUGCAGUUACAAAAGUCAAUAAGUUACCCUUUAGCUGAAACAUGUCUAAGUGGAGUUUCAGUUGUUACAACUGACAAAGCCCUGCCUAGCACAAGGAAUAAACAAUGUUCAGCAGUGGCAUGAGAACAAGGGACAGCCUGUUUGGUGGGCAGCAUGGCAAAUGGCUGUCCAGAAAAUAUGACAUUUGGGCUGGAGGGCAAAGUGGAAUUCACCAGCAUGCAGGGUGGAAGCACGACCCUAACAGAGGGAACAUCACGGGCAAAGGCUCAGAGGCAGGAAGCUUUACGUGUGAAAGGAUACAUUUUUAGAACACUAAACAUUCUCCCUGCUUUCCAAAACACUGAGUUUCUCAUCAUUUUUUGGCCAGAUGUGGUGGCUCACGCCUUUAAUCCCAGCACUUUAGGGGCCGAGGUGGGUAGAUCACCUGAGGUCAGGAGCUCAAGACCAGCCUGACCAACAUGGCAAAACCCCAUCUCUACUAAAAAUACAAAAAUUAGCUGGGUGAGGUGGCAGACACCUGUAAUCCCAGCUACUCAGGAGGCUGAGGGAGAAGAAUCGCUUGAACCAGGAGGCAGAGAUUCCAGUGAGGCGAGAUCGCACCACUGCACUCCAGCCUGGGAGAUGAGACAGAGCAAGACUAUCUUAAAAAAAAAAAAAAAAAGACUGAGUUUCUCAUCAUUUUUUGAAACUGAGAGUGUUCUGUGUAUCAAUAAGACCUUAUGAUGCAAAAUAUAAUAUAAUGUGCAGCUAGGUCUCCACAGCCUUCAGUCUUUCCCUGGAAGGGCUCCAUGAGCUGCUUGUCUGGUGGGGAUGGUGGUUUUGAGUAAGUAGUGGGUGUCCUCUCUUACCCAGGCUCUUUCCCACAAAGAGUUGAGCAGAAUUAAAAGCUACUGGAAACCAAGAUCUCUCUCUGACGUUGACUUGUCAGAGCUCAGCCUCAUCAGCACAGGCUCUAAUCAACUAAGCAGCUAAUAAACUCCUGCCUCAUUUCAUCCAGCCAGAGCCCUGAUCUCAGGGGAUGAUAGUGAGGAAACGAUCCUUUCACAUGCCUGGCUCCUGCAAAAUUGUGCUAAGAGGAUUUUCCUCAAACAUUUUAGCACAAAGCGAGUUUUCCUAAUCCAGUUAGCAAAUAUUCUUCUAUUUGAACUCAUUGACCCUCCUUCUUCUGAAGAUGUAUUUUAAAUUGGAUUUGCUUCACUGACACAAAUGGAAAACUUGAUAAGAAAAUCGGUGGGGUUUUGCUGCACCCACUGCUGAUAUCAAAAGACUCAACUCUGUAUUACAGCAAUGAAAGCUCUGUUCUGUAGCUACAGGAUACAAGCUGAGCUCCCAGCCACCAGCCCUGCCAAUGUGCUCAGCUUGGCACAGGGCAGGGAAUAGGGUAGAGGGGAGGGGAUGGGGAGGGGCAGGUGGAAAGGCCCAGGUGAUGAGCCAGCCACAUCACCUCAACCACAGGACCCCUGAUGGUGGCCCUAGAGCCUCCUCUUGAAAUCCAAAGCUCAGUCCCUCUUCCCAGUUCAGGAGCAAGGAGGUUUCUGGCAGGUUAAAAUGGCUAACUCAGG
rnacentral:lncRNA from 10 species